UUUUUUUUUUUUUUAGACAGGGUAUCGCUCUGUCUCCUAGGCUGGAGUGUUGUGGCACAAUCUCGGCUUACUGAAACCUUGACCUCCUGGGCACAAGCGAUCCUCCCACCUCAGUCUCCCAAGUAGCUGGGGCCACAGGCAUGUGCCACCAUGCCCGGCUACUUUUUGUAUUUUUUGUAGAGAUGGAGUUUUGCCAUGUUGCCCAGGCUGUUCUCGAACUCCUGGACUCAAGCGAUCCUCCUGCCUUGGCCUCCCAAAGUGCUGGGAUUGCAGGUGUGAGUCACUGCACCUGAUCCCAAAUGAGCUUUUAAAGGAGAGCAGGAGGUUCCAUGAUUGGCCAGGGAGGAGGCUGGGCUCUGUUUCCAGGGAAGAGGAAGGGGUCAGGUCAGUUCUAGAGGUCAGCUCUCCCAGUUUACACCUGGGGAAGCCGAGGCCCAGAGGGCGCCUGUUGUUAAUCAGCGCUGGCACGCUUCUCUCCCCCGCCCCACGCGAGCCCUGCUGCACCUGCUCCCUCCUAGGACUGAAUGCCCUACGAUCCCCACCAAAUGGGGAAGGACGCUAGAGGUUACAGGACUGGCCCCCGACCGCUCAGCCAGAAACGGGCUUUGAACCCUGCUGAACUCCGGUGGCACAGGCUGCGCAAGGCUUGCGUCUCCCUGGAAGGGCCACUCCUCUCUGGUCAGCAAAAUCUCCUCCCUGCUCAGGAAUCUGGACAGCCCCUGCCAUUUGCCUGGUUGUUCCCCUACCCGAGUGCCCUCGAUUUUCCCCUCUGGCCGGGGCAGGAGCAGCAGGGCUGGAUGCCAGGGCCCCAGGGGCAGGGAGGUGAGUGGGCACCACUCCUUCCCCCAUGGGUAAGGUGGAUAUCCAGCUUCGGACCACAUCACAGACGCCCAGGCCCCCAGCCACAGCCGGGAUCACUCAGCUGGGUAAUGUCUGCACUUCCCAGCUGGGCCAGAACUUUUCCAUGCUGCCAGGACUUGCAAGAAAACAGCUGUCUGGCUGCCUACCCCACCCUAAGACAGCAGGGACACCCAUUUUCCCUGUGCAAAGCGGCCUUCCCAUCUCCCAUCUGUGCAUCCAACCAAGAUUCGAGGAGCACCCACCUCGGGCUAAGGACUGGUGCACAUUCCUGA
rnacentral:lncRNA from 10 species